GAUGAACGCUGGCGGCGUGCCUAAUACAUGCAAGUCGAGCGAACGGACGAGAAGCUUGCUUCUCUGAUGUUAGCGGCGGACGGGUGAGUAACACGUGGAUAACCUACCUAUAAGACUGGGAUAACUUCGGGAAACCGGAGCUAAUACCGGAUAAUAUUUUGAACCGCAUGGUUCAAAAGUGAAAGACGGUCUUGCUGUCACUUAUAGAUGGAUCCGCGCUGCAUUAGCUAGUUGGUAAGGUAACGGCUUACCAAGGCAACGAUGCAUAGCCGACCUGAGAGGGUGAUCGGACACACUGGAACUGAGACACGGUCCAGACUCCUACGGGAGGCAGCAGUAGGGAAUCUUCCGCAAUGGGCGAAAGCCUGACGGAGCAACGCCGCGUGAGUGAUGAAGGUCCUCGGAUCGUAAAACUCUGUUAUUAGGGAAGAACAUAUGUGUAAGUAACUGUGCACAUCUUGACGGUACCUAAUCAGAAAGCCACGGCUAACUACGUG
rnacentral:rRNA from 1 species